AAACUAUGCAUCGGACAUUUCCACAGUAAAUCUUUAAAUCACUCUCAAGCUUUAUAAAGGUUUUCAUCUUUUAUUUUCUUGAAAGAUGUGAUGUCGUUUCUCAACCU